rnacentral:lncRNA from 1 species
UUAGAACUCCCCAGCUUCCUUCUGUCUGCUGAGCUCUCCAGGGCCCUGAUGAACUCAUGUAGAAUAUUCUGGUGUCACAUCAGCACUGAGGUUUGAAAGAAUCCUUUUUGGAAGUUGGGCAGGUAGCCCAUCUCUGCACCUCACCCUGAGGCAUCCAACUCUCCAAGGGUCCAGAGACCAGCCCAGCAUGCUUUUGUCAUGGUAAUGAUGGAGAAGUAAGGGAAUGUGCACAAAGGCCUAAGCUUGGAACUGCCAUGCUGUCACCUCUACAUUUCUCUACUGGCUAGAUACAAAGCCAAGAGACCAGAAGUACAUUGUGCUGCUGUGGUGGGAGAAACUGCAAAGUCACAUGUGGUAAGGUGGUAGGCUUGUGUACAUACGGAUGGUAAAGAAUUGGACGAAUAA